rnacentral:rRNA from 1 species
CCCUUAGAUGUCCUGGGCCGCACGCGUGCUACACUGACGCAUACAGCGAGUACUCCCGGCUCCGCAAUGGCAGCUGGUAAUCAUCAAUAUGCGUCGUGAUGGGGAUAGAUCUCUGGAAUUUUUGAUCUUGAACGAGGAAUGCCUAGUAAGCGCAGGUCAUCAGCCUGCGUUGAUUAAGUCCCUGCCCAUUGUACACACCGCCCGUCGCUCCUACCGAUUGAGUGAGCCGAUGAAACUGCCGGAUGUGGACUAUUCAUAGUCUGCAGAAGAUAUUUGAAUCGUAGCGCUUAGAGGAAGGAGAAGUCGUAACA